rnacentral:rRNA from 1 species
CCUACGGGAGGCAGCAGUGGGGAAUAUUGGACAAUGGGGGGAACCCUGAUGGUGCGACGCCGCGUGGGGGAAUGAAGGUCUUCGGAUUGUAAACCCCUGUCAUGUGGGAGCAAAUUAAAAAGAUAGUACCACAAGAGGAAGAGACGGCUAACUCUGUGCCAGCAGCCGCGGUAAUACAGAGGUCUCAAGCGUUGUUCGGAAUCACUGGGCGUAAAGGGUGCGUAGGCUGUUUCGUAAGUCGUGUGUGAAAGGCGCGGGCUCAACCUGCGGACGGCACAUGAAACUGGGAGACUGGAGUGAGUGAGGGGGAAGCGGAAUUCUCGGUGUAGGAGUGAAAUGCGUAGAUAUCGGGAGGAACACUCGUGGCGAAGGCGGGUUCCUGGACAUUAACUGACGCUGAGGCACGAAGGCCAGGGGAGCGAAAGGGAUUAGAUACCCGUGUAGUC